rnacentral:sRNA from 1 species
UGGCGGAAUCCAGUCCAAAACACGUUGAG